rnacentral:sRNA from 1 species
CGGCAUCCUUGUGAACCAGAAGAUGUA